rnacentral:rRNA from 1 species
CCUACGGGAGGCAGCAGUGGGGAAUAUUGCGCAAUGGGCGAAAGCCUGACGCAGCAACGCCGCGUGGGGGAUGAAGGCCUUCGGGUUGUAAACCUCUUUCAGCAGGGAAGAAGCGAAAGUGACGGUACCUGCAGAAGAAGCACCGGCUAACUACGUGCCAGCAGCCGCGGUAAUACGUAGGGUGCAAGCGUUGUCCGGAUUUAUUGGGCGUAAAGAGCUCGUAGGCGGUUAGUCACGUCGGAUGUGAAAUCCCGGAGCUUAACUCCGGGCCUGCAUUCGAUACGGGCUGACUCGAGUGUUGUAGGGGAGACUGGAACUCCUGGUGUAGCGGUGAAAUGCGCAGAUAUCAGGAAGAACACCGGUGGCGAAGGCGGGUCUCUGGGCAACGUACUGACGCUGAGGAGCGAAAGCGUGGGGAGCAAACAGGAUUAGACACCCUGGUAGUCCACGCCGUAAACGGUGGGCGCUAGGUGUGGGGAACAUUCCACGUUCUCUGCGCCGCNGCUACGCAUAGCGCCCGCCGUCGGGAGGUACGGCCGCGAACGGACGUAAACGUUAAACGGUAAAGUUAAGUACGGUACGUUGAGUACGUUGCCGAACGGACGACGACGAGGGAGGAGG